UCCGCCGCGAGGCGGGAUCUGAAGGAAGCCGGAUGUGGGAACAGACUAACCACGGGCAAACCUCUGGCCUGACGAACAGAAACCACAUAUGAGGUCACGCAUGAGGGUAAGACUGCCGUACAAGCCAAAGCCCAAUAACUACACGGAAUCAUGCGGGAUAGAUGAGGCAGGUAGAUGGAGGGAAAGAAACGUGU
rnacentral:ncRNA from 1 species